AUGUAUGUAUAUAUAUAUAUAUAUAUAUGUGUGUGUGUGUGUGUGUAUGUAUGUAUAUACACAUAUACAUUAUACCUACACCUAUAUCUACACUUACAC
rnacentral:miRNA from 14 species